GUCCAGUGUGGACAAAGCCUGAGACGAGAAUUCGCCUUGCUGUCUAGGCCAAGGAAGGAUGAGCAGCUAGCUUAAAACACCUAUCACUUUCCUGUAUGUUUCAAAGGUGUGAGGAUUAAAGGAAUUGUCAGAUUAUUACAAUAAAAAAGAAGGGGAUUUAAAAUUGCAUUUUCUUUUCCCAUUACUGCUGCUUACUUUUUGCAUUGCACGGCUGUGUACGCAUGGCCCUGCCCUAGAGUCCAUGGCCCUGCCCUAGAGCCUGGCCCCAGAGUCCAUGGCCCUACGGUCACACACGAGCCCCUGGACUUUGGUACCGCUGGUGCUAUGCAGGCCCGUUGAGUUAGGCGGGACAUUACUUGGCUGAGUUCCCCUCCCCCUCCAGUGUAUCAGCAGCGCCUGGCCAUGCGCGGUCUCCCAUCCACGGGUGGAGCGAAACGGACCCCGCUUAGCUUGAGGGACCUGACGGAGGGGCGAGGGCGGGGCUGGCACGUGGCCGCUUCUCCCGGCCGCGCUGUUUUUGACCCGCCUCCGCUGUCACGUGAUGCAUCCGCGUGGGCCGUUGGGAAGGGGUCUGAGAGGCGGGGCCUUGGGCGCUCCUUCGUCCAAUAAUAAUCCGCGGAGACCGGAAGUGGCGGUGGAAAAUGGCGGGUGGUGCUAAGCGGCCGCGGGGCCUGCAGGAGAAAGAGAAAAAGGUUGACUGGCGUAAAUGGAAACAAGAAAAUGGUUAUUCUCCAUUUCAGAAAAAGAAGAGAAGAAAAAAUGGAAGGAAAUAAAGCUAUUGAGAAAACUGGAAAAGAAAAGAAUGCAGGAGGUGAUGGAAAAACAAAAAGAAGAAGAAAAGGCAAAGGAAGACAAAGGUAACAGCCUUGAGUUGAUGGGAAGGGCUGUGUGUGAGGGCCAGAAGAAUCUAAUGUGUGAGGGGCAGAUUUUAGUUGCUUGAGAUGCAUCUCACCUGUAUAGGCAGAAAAGGAUAUCUUAUCACUUAACUUUCAUAGAUCUGGUAUAAUCACAUACCAGUUCAAAUACAUAGGUAGACACUAAUUCAGUACAGUCAGUGGUGUAUGUGAGACCACUCAAUAGACAACCUGCUGUCUUAAGACAUCUCCUAAGCGUCCUCAAGUGUACAGAGUGCAAUUGUGCUCCACCUCUAAGAAGUGGCCACUAAAGAGAGCAGCAAAAGUCUGUUGCUAAACAUAGGUUUCAUUGUACUCAGUCGCAGAAUCCCAUAAUCCCUCCUUAUUGUAGCCUCCCUCCAUUCUUGUGCCAAAAAUAAGGAGACGUGUGUAUUGGACAAUACAAAAUGAUGAAGCAUUUAGUACUCAUGUAGGAAGAAUGCAGUAGUCCCUGUUCUUUUUAAACUAGCUAACCUGUUGCACAAUCCUCUAUAAAAUUCCUGUGUGUCCAUUGAUCAAUUCUCUAGAGUCUAGUCAAUACUUCAGACUUGGGGCCCUCUCCUACUCACUUUAAAGCCAGUGGCAAAAGUCAGAUUGACUUCUGUGGGAAGAGGAGUGGGGCCCUUACUCUGUAAAAGGCACUAUAUUGGAGUGCUUUGGAAUCUUAUCAUUUGUAGUGUGGAAGCCUUAGUACAAAUUGGGGCCCCUUUGUACCAGGUGCCGUGAAAACACAGGACAGUCCUUGCCCGAAGAGCUUACAAUUAAAAUGAGAGAACCAAAAGCUAAUGCUGUCCCUUUAGCAACACAAAUGGGAGUAGAACUGCCAAGCUCUGGCUCUUCUGUCUGAUCCCACUCUUGUUUUCUAGGACGUCAUUACACAGUUAGCGUAGCUCUGCCAGGCUCCAUCUUGAAUAAUGCACAGUCUCCAGAGUUGCGGACAUACCUUGCUGGGCAAAUUGCCAGGGCCUGUGCCAUCUUCUGUGUGGAUGAGAUUGUGGUGUUUGAUGAGCAAGGAGAAGAUUCAAGGUGAGGGUGACACAUUGUCUUCCCCGAAUAACCUGUCCCUCAGUGUUUCCAGUUUCUGUGUAUCUUGUCUCAAAUGAAGGCCAGCAGGAAACAGAGCUGCAGCUUCUCCCUGUCAAAUACUUUGUUUGAUGAGAUCUCCCUAAUUACUUUUUUCCGUGUGUGUGGGCCCACCGGGGGCAGCCGUGGCUAUUCCCCAAACAGCAAGAUUAAUGACUGAAAUAAAAUAAUAGGUUGGAUGGUUCUAGAAGGUUGUUAAUAACCAUUUUGCACUGAGCCCACAGAAGUAGCAACCAAAAGCCAUCACCUGGUGACUAUUCAGUGGCCUGUGAGAUGAAUUGGUGGUGUCUGGUUGCUAGCGGACAGGUGUCCAGAUUGCAUUUGCUUAAACAAUGUGCAUCAUUGUUUAGUGUCAGCAAAAAAGCCAAAGGACUAGAUGAACAGUUCCGGUCUAUGGGAAGGUGGCUCUGGAGACUGACACUUGCCAUCUUUCAGAAGUACUAAAUCCGUUCAAAUUUAGGUUCUUUGGGACUACUAGACCAUACAGACUAAGUGACAAGGCAUAAGUAGCUCAGCGCCCGGUUUAUAGUUAAAAUCUGUGAUAAAGGUAAAAAUGCACACUGUUGAAGCAAAUUUGGACGCUAUAUGUAAACCAAGAAAUAGCUUGGUUCCAUAGGACACUUAAGUCCCAUAAGAGCAAGUAGGUUUCACGUAAACGCUGAAGUGCGUGGAUCUCACCAGCAUGCAACGAACACACACUAGAUUUAUAGGAAGCUAAAGAAGAGCUCUGCAAGCUUAAAGCUUGUCUCUCACCAACAGAAGUUGGUCCAAUAAAAGAUAUUACCUCACUCUCCUUGUCUCUCUAAUAUCCUGGGACGGACACAACUACAGCAACACUGCAUACAGGUUUACAGGAAGAAAUUUUGUAGUGCUGAGAAAAGGUGCUGUCUUGACAGCCCUGGAAACUAACAAUCUCUGUUUAUCCUUCACACAGACUAGGUAGCAGAAUGUCAUGCUUUUCCACAGUCCCUCCUCCCUAACUCGGAGGGUCCAGCUGUAAUCAUGCUUCAUGGACCAUCCAGUCAUUGGUCUAGAUUAUUAACAAGGAUGUCAGUUCUGGUGGUUGUGUGACCAACGACCAUCCAGUCGGUACUGGUCUGAUAUCACUUACUACUUUCACAGGCCAUCUAGUAUCUGAUGGCUGCUUUAUAAUGUAAGAUCUUUUCUGACCUGGGUCAGACUUGAAUUGCCAACAAGGGUGAGGGACUCUAUAUCCUGAACCACUUUUUUAAAGUCCUGUUUCUAGUUGUAUACAUUUUAAUUAAAAAGGAAUGGGAUGUGGCCUCAUGUAGAUCUACUCACUCUAGGGGCUGUGUAAAUGUCUUGGAAGAUCACAGA
ensembl:lncRNA